AUUGAACGCUGGCGGCAGGCCUAACACAUGCAAGUCGAACGGUAACAGGAAGAAGCUUGCUUCUUUGCUGACGAGUGGCGGACGGGUGAGUAAUGUCUGGGAAACUGCCUGAUGGAGGGGGAUAACUACUGGAAACGGUAGCUAAUACCGCAUAACGUCGCAAGACCAAAGAGGGGGACCUUCGGGCCUCUUGCCAUCGGAUGUGCCCAGAUGGGAUUAGCUAGUAGGUGGGGUAACGGCUCACCUAGGCGACGAUCCCUAGCUGGUCUGAGAGGAUGACCAGCCACACUGGAACUGAGACACGGUCCUGACUCCUACGGGAGGCAGCAGUGGGGAAUAUUGCACAAUGGGCGCAAGCCUGAUGCAGCCAUGCCGCGUGUAUGAAGAAGGCCUUCGGGUUGUAAAGUACUUUCAGCGGGGAGGAAGGGAGUAAAGUUAAUGCCUUUGCUCAUUGACGUUACCCGCAGAAGAAGCACCGGCUAACUCCGUG
rnacentral:rRNA from 1 species